rnacentral:rRNA from 1 species
CUGGCUCAGAUUGAACGCUGGCGGCGUGCUUAACACAUGCAAGUCGAACGCGAAAGGGACUUCGGUCCUGAGUAAAGUGGCGCACGGGUGAGUAACGCGUGGAUAAUCUGCCCUUAUGAUCGGGAUAACAGUUGGAAACGGCUGCUAAUACCGGAUACGCUCAAAAUGAACUUUUUUGAGGAAAGAUGGCCUCUGCUUGCAUGCUAUCACGUAAGGAUGAGUCCGCGUCCCAUUAGCUUGUUGGCGGGGUAACGGCCCACCAAGGCAACGAUGGGUAGCCGAUUUGAGAGGAUGAUCGGCCACACUGGAACUGAAACACGGUCCAGACUCCUACGGGAGGCAGCAGUGGGGAAUAUUGCGCAAUGGGCGAAAGCCUGGCGCAGCGACGCCGCGUGAGGGAUGAAGGUUUUCGGAUCGUAAACCUCUGUCAGAAGGGAAGAAACUACGUUGUGCUAAUCAGCAGCGUACUGACGGUACCUUCAAAGGAAGCACCGGCUAACUCCGUGCCAGCCGCCGC